rnacentral:rRNA from 1 species
GAGACCCGUGCCCUUAUUUGUCAGGAGGUCCCUUCGGGGGCUUCGACACAUUAAGGGGACCGCUUGCGAUAAGCAAGAGGAAGGAGCGAGCGACGAUAGGUCAGUAUGCCCCGAAUCCCCUGGGCUACACGCGGACUGCAAUGGCCGGGACAAAGGGUUCCAACUUCGAAAGGAGAAGGAAAUCCCCAAACCCGGUCUUAGUUCGGAUUGUGGGCUGUAACUCGCCCACAUGAAGCCGGAAUCCCUAGUAAUCGCGUCUCAUUACGGCGCGGUGAAUAU